rnacentral:lncRNA from 1 species
AUAUCAGUAUCAGACUUUAGUUUAGGGGGUCUCCCUCUGCCUCGAGGCUUAGAUGAUGGCUGUUGCUCAUCUUGAUGCUGAGGAUCUUUGUUCAAAGGUGCUUUUGGUUUAGGAGAUCUUUCCAUGCUAGAAAGGUCAAGCUGCUGCUCUGGAUCUUUGUGCCAUUCAAGAAAAGCAGGUGAUUCAACAGAAUGUAACUUGGCUUCCAUUUGUUGAUUAGAGAGAAUCAUAUCAGUAUCAGACUUUAGUUUUCGGGGUCUCCCUCUGCCUCGAGGCUUAGAUGAUGGCUGUUGCUCAUCUUGAUGCUGAGGAUCUUUGUUCACAGGUGCUUUUGGUUUAGGAGAUCUUUCCAUGCUAGAAAGGUCAAGCUGCUGCUCUGGAUCUUUGUGCCAUUCAAGAAAAGCAGGUGAUUCAACAUAAUGUAACUUGGCUUCCAUUUGUUGAUUAGAGAUAAUCAUAUCAGUAUCAGACUUUAGUUUACGGGGUCUCCCUCUGCCUCGAGGCUUAGAUGAUGGCUGUUGCUCAGGAUCUUUGUUCACAGGUGCUUUUGGUUUAGGAGAUCUUUCCAUGCUAGAAAGGUCAAGCUGCUGCUCUGGAUCUUUGUGCCAUUCAAGAAAAGCAGGUGAUUCAACAGAAUGUAAUUUGGCUUUCAUUUGUUGAUUAGAGAGAAUCAUAUCAGUACUAGACUUUAGUUUACGGGGUCUUCCUCUGCCUCGAGGCUUAGAUGAUGGCUGUUGCUCAUCUUGAUGCUGAGGAUCUUUGUUCACAGGUGCUUUUGGUUUAGGAGAUCUUUCCAUGCUAGAAAGGUCAAGCUGCUGCUCUGAAUCUUUGUGCCAUUCAAGAAAAGAAGGUGAUUCAACAGAAUGUAAUUUGGCUUCCAUUUGUUGAUUAGAGAGAAUCUGUGGGUGAGGAUGCUGCUCUGACAAUAGAUCACAAAUAAGUUCCUUCUGUUCACAAGGGCUUGUAAU